rnacentral:rRNA from 1 species
UCCAGACUCCUACGGGAGGCAGCAGUGGGGAAUAUUGCACAAUGGGGGAAACCCUGAUGCAGCGACGCCGCGUGAGUGAAGAAGUAUUUCGGUAUGUAAAGCUCUAUCAGCAGGGAAGAUAAUGACGGUACCUGACUAAGAAGCCCCGGCUAACUACGUGCCAGCAGCCGCGGUAAUACGUAGGGGGCAAGCGUUAUCCGGAUUUACUGGGUGUAAAGGGUGCGUAGGUGGCAGGGCAAGUCAGAUGUGAAAGCCCGGGGCUCAACCCCGGUACUGCAUUUGAAACUGUCCAGCUGGAGUGCAGGAGAGGUAAGCGGAAUUCCUAGUGUAGCGGUGAAAUGCGUAGAUAUUAGGAGGAACACCAGUGGCGAAGGCGGCUUACUGGACUGUAACUGACGUUGAGGCUCGAAAGCGUGGGGAGCAAACAGGAUUAGAUACCCUAGUAU